rnacentral:miRNA from 1 species
GACUCAUGAUAAUGAUGAGGAUGGUGGUGAAGGUGUAGGAUGAGAGUGAUGACGAGCAAUAUCAUCAUCAUCAUCAUGAUCAUCAUCAUCAUUCUAG